AAAGGACAACGCUAAUUUGGAGUGAGGCUUUUUCGCAUGCAACACUGCAGGUUAAUUGUCAAAACAAUUUCCUUCGCGCCACCUGUUGUUGUGGCAUGUGUGACUUUUAUGCGGACCGACACUUGAGAACACGCUGCAAGUAAGGAUUUUUUUUUCCCUGGAGUGUUGGAACAGUUUUUAAUACCCGCGUUGACUGUGGAAAUGGUCCAAUUAGUAUUAUGGCUUCAAGCCAUCUCACGCUCCACUGCUUACAUUUUUAUGAUCUACAGUUAGACCUUCAUUGUCGUUAAACGAUUGCCUUUAUGGCGCAUCAUCUGCACAACUUUUAUUGUUGUGACUAAUAAGAACAUUAUGAAGCGUCACUUUUUAAUAUUCCAAAAUGGAUUCCAUUUCAGUCAAAUGAUAAGUUCACAUCUGUACGGCGGCAUCGCAAUAUGAUUUCGGCGGAUUAGUUGAGUGUUUCAAAAUGAGAAAACAUGAUAUCGUCCUUCAAAUUACAAGAGUGACUGCAGAUUUGGUGACAUGCAGCUGGGAUGCGAAAGACUUCAAAAGUGGAAUCGUUAUUGACUUUGUCUUGCCUCGUCUGGUCGCAGCUUUGAGAAUCUCUGCUAAAUGACAAUAAACCGUAGAGCAUCUUUCAAGGAGGCCAAUAACAAGGUAAUGGCAAAAAAGUCAAAAGCAAACCCACGCAUUGUUUCCUCCUUCUGCAAAGCUGCACUUAUGCAACCCAUCAAGUGGGCUGAAACAAGUGCAACCAACCAAGUGAAGGGUCAGAAACACCAGUGUCUUUCUUCAUCUGCAUGUUUUUUUCUUGCUGCAUGUCCCAUUUAGACAUCACAUGGAUGUGUGAGUUUUAUUGUCACGUACCUGGCCUGUGUGUUCCGCAUUCAAAGCUUUUUUUUACACCGAAGCCGUUGAAGAAAGAGCCAGGGCUGCAGCCAGAAAGCGGACCUGGACUGAAAAGGAUUCACUGAAAGAACUUCCGUCAAGGCCCCAGAGAAGAAAUCUGCAACUACCGCACAAGCAGCAAGUCCAGUAGAGGGAGACGAACGAACUCCCGGACGUCUGCAAGCGGUCUGACCUUCACCCAGAGAGGAGAAAGUCGGCCUCAAGUAUACCGAAGCAGAGCACCAGGCAGCUCUG